AUUCUGCUGAACUUGCUUCAUAGAUCAAAAGAGAAAAAGUCCAAAAAAAUGCACAUAAGCUCUUUCCUUCAAUAAUCCAUAUUUUAGCUAAAUUGUGAUUAAAGUGAGAUUAGGAGCUGCAUAUAUAAAGUUAAUUCCUAACAGAAUUGAGGACGCUAAUCACAAUUCCAAAAACUUCUGCAUAUUCACAUUUCACUGCAUAACAGAAAACAUUCUCUCAUUCUCCCAUUUUUUGCAAAAAAAUUUCAAUAACAUUCUGCAUCAAUGGAAGAAUUUCCAUGAAUCUUUGUAAUAAUUCCUUGUAUAUUCAUCAUUAUUAGGCAUUGUGAAGCUUCUGUUUGCAGAAAAAGUUCAAGAACCGCUCGCGAAUCGCAUCGGUGGAAUCAAUCCGCAACUUCCAUAACAGUCCAAGAAUUGGUAGGAUUAAGAGAUUUUGGAGCUUCAAGAACAACUCCACGCACCUUCUACAGCGAUUUGCCAUAUCUGUUUCAUGCGAAAUUGAAGCUCAACCGCGAACUCCAUUGCCGUCAUCAAGAAAAGGUACCUUUAGUUGCUCAAUUCCUUGCGAACUUUUGCUUUGCGUUGCUUAAGCAACUUGCAUUGAGGUAGGUCUUCUUGACUUCAUGUAGUCUGGAGACCCGGCUGUUACCGGGCCGGGCAAUAAAUGUCUGAAGUCCUCCUUAAGAGGCAAUGCUUGUGUAUGUUUAUUUUUAAGCCCAAGCAGGAAAAGUCCUUCAAGUAAGGCAAUUGGUGGAAGGUAGGGACAAGCAACCUGUCCCCCACUAUUCAGUGAGUCUUCUCCUUGCUCCCAUUACAUGGUUGUAGCAUUGAGAUCAAAAGCCCAAGAUCUUGUGCAGUGCACAUUGUGUCAGAGUCAUCGAGUAUAGAAGGGUUCCCCUAUUCUGGACCCAUGCUCAUUUGUCAGCUCUCCCUGGUUAGGGAUAAGAGCUGUGAGGUCUGAUCCUCACUUCAUCCUAUCAUCUGCUUCACCUUAGCCUCGUAAUGGCAAGGUUAAGAGCAAACACAGCCUGUACAGACGAUUGCUUAGGCAGUCAAACCCGAUUGAUUGAGCCCCUUGUUUGGCUAUAGUGGGUGUUAUGUGGAUAUUUGAUUGACAUGCUUGUGUUGUUUGAGAUGCCUGUUCUCAUCUGAUAUAUGCUUGUAUAUUGUAUGCUUGUGUGAUUGCUUCUUUCCUGGUUAGGAUAGUUUGCUUAUGCAAGUAGGAUAGAAAACCGAACUUAGGGUUAACGAUGCAUGACAACAUUAGGCUCGAGUCUCAGCUCCCUAGUCGUGUGUCUCUCCCCGGUUUUUGGUUAGCAAUUCAGUCCCUUUCAGGGGAACUACAUCGCCCUGAUCCUCGUUCCAGACGAGGUAUGUAGGCAGGUGGUCGUGCGAGACCACUCCGGGCAACCUUUUUCUUUCUUGCGUGUGUUUACUUGUUAUCUGACUGUGUGUUUGGCUCGGAUGCCGACGUAAGCCCAGUGAUUGGCAGUCGGGCUCCACGUUUGCCGUUUUGUGCGUGUUUUGGCUCGGAUGCCGACGUAAGCCCAGGAUUGGCUGUCGGGCUCCACGUUUGCCCUUUUGAGUGUGUUUUGGUUCGGAUGCCGACAUAAUUCCAUCCAGUGGUUGUCGGGCUCCAUGUUUGCCACCCUUGCUUGUUUGUAUGUGUUGUGUUGUUUGGCGUGCGUAA